GGGAGUCGAAUGAGUCGAGAGAUUCACGUUCGGUUCUGCGAGAGACUCGGGUGCAACUCCCCGAGUCUACUCACC
rnacentral:ncRNA from 1 species